ensembl:lncRNA
GGAACUGUUGUUUUGGCACCUGCCACCAGCACUCCGUUCCUUAUGGUCAGAGGCAGCUCUUCCACUGAAAUAUUGAUAACCCCGUUAUGUUGUUGUUCUGUAGACUGGCAGAGGCUCUGCAUAGCAUAGCAAAUGGUUGUAUUUCGGUACGUGUUCUGGAAUUUGCAUUUAUGUGCCUAUUAUUUUAAUACGAUUGUGUAUUUACUAUAUAUUACCCUGUUUUCUAGGCGCCUGUGCGGAGGGAUUCUGGUGCAAAAGUGGUGCCCGAGUGAGAAACCCCCGAGAUGGAGAGUCAGGACUGCCUUGUCCUCCUGGUCAUUACUGCCCUGAAGGUACGAUGCUUUGCUUAGGACAAUUUUUCCUUAAUUCAUGGUGAAGCAUGAGAUGGGAUUUCCUCUCUCUGCUGCGUUUCACGUUGCCAGGUGCACCACUUCCGUUACAGUGCCCUCCUGGCACUUGGUCUGACAGUGAAGGGGGUAGGAAUUUGCAGGAGUGCCAGCCUUGCCCUGGGGGAUAUUACUGUAACAGCUCUGGACUGAGGGCCCCUUCAGGACAUUGCAGCCCAGGGUAAGUAGAAGAGUGAACAUAAUGCUGUAUUUUAGGUAAGGAGGGGUGUUCCAAGAAGGGGGCAGAAGCUUUAUUUCCUUGUUUUCCUUGAAAUAAGGAGAACGUGUUCCUGUGUUCACUGCCGCAGGUAUUACUGCGUCUCCGGGGCCCAGACUCCAGCACCCACUGAUGGCCUCUCAGGAGCUCCAUGUCCCAUCAGACACUUUUGCCCUCUUGGAUCCAGGAGUCCAGCUCCAUGCCCCCCUGGCUCCUACAUGCCACAAACCCAUGGAGAGGAGUGCCACGCUUGUGCAGAGGGUGAAUACUGUGUCCCUGGUGAAAAGCCACAGCCAUGUCCUCAGGGUUUCUACUGCCCCGGAGGAACAGGUUUAGACUGGCAGCCCUGCCCGCCAGGUACUUAUAGCCCCGAGCAAGGACAGGGAAGCAGAACCAGCUGCAGAGCUUGUGAUGGAGGGAAGUUCUGUCAGUAUCACAAUGCAACUGCUGUGACUGGAGAGUGCUGGGAAGGUUACUAUUGCACUCAAGGAUCUUAUAAGCCUAACCCAGAUGCCGUGAUACAAGGCCGAGCUGGUCCCUGCCCUGCAGGCCAUUACUGUCCCCGAGGCACUUCUGUCCCCACACCGUGUCCUGUGGGAACUUUCAGCUCAAGGAGCAGGAUGAGCUCAGAGACCCAGUGUUCCCCAUGUCUGCCUGGGCAUUACUGUGAUGCUGCUGGCCUUCCAGCCCCUACAGGACAGUGUGCAGAGGGGUUCUACUGCACACUGGGAUCCACUCUUCCCAAUUUCCCAGUGGUGGACAAGGCUGGAGGUCCCUGUCCCAGAGGUAGGCUAUUAUGGGCGCUUCUCAGACUUGGCCAGUUUGCUGAAUGAGGGUUAAAACUCCCCGUAGACUUCAGGCAGCUCUGAGACAUUCUGACUCUUGAAAUUUCUCAGUGCCUCGGGGGGCUUCUCUGUGGUCUGUUUUAGGACACGUGGAAGCGUCAAGCAAAAUUGUCAUCCUGCUCUGACCCCUGGAAAUACUGCUGAUUCUGAUCUUUCUUUUUCAGGGUAUUUCUGUCCCAAGGGCACAGCUGUUCCAAUGGCUUGUCCAGCGGGGUCAUACAACCCUUCACAAAGGCAAGCCAGCUGCCUCCCCUGUGCUAAAGGGUAAGACUGAGACGACGAGCUUACUUUUGUGCGUGUGAGUUAAGACCUAUUGGAAGUGCUGGUGUAUCCAGUCAACUUGGGGCAGUGUGUGGCAGGAAAAAUGACCGACUUCACCGCUGAGGAGCACCUGUCUGUGAACAGAAGCAGAGCAACUAUUGAACUCUGCUUAGCAGCACUGUACAGUUGAUUACGGGACAUGGCCAAGUCCUUAACCCAGAUGCGACCCUGUCAGAAGGGAAUUUAGAUCAGAAGGUUGCUCAAAGCCGGGACAGCAGGAAACUGUUGGCACCGUCGACUUCUUUCGUGUCUGAAGCAGUAGAUACUUCCCUUGGCAACAGGCUGACAUAGCCCUGAUGAAGGGGAACGGGGUCUUGUGUAUCACCUGAUGCUGAGUCUGGCUUUUCCUUAGGGGAUUCAUCUCCAAUUACCAGUCAGAUUUGGCCUUGAUUAACUUCUGCGAGUUGAUGAAGCACAGUCCGGAUAUGUUAUGACUCAAGUUAAGAAAAUGAUGUCUCUGUGGCUUUUGCAAUUACGCCAUCCAUUUGGCAUGCGAGGAAACAACUAAGGGAACGUGCUAAUUUACAUAAGUAGGUCUGUUUUAUGGUCAAUGCAGAGCAGUGCAGCAGUAGCCUCCUUAGACUAGCC